rnacentral:rRNA from 1 species
UGACUGGGGCGGUCGCCUCCCAAAGAGUAACGGAGGCGCCCAAAGGUUCCCUCAGGCUGGUCGGCAAUCAGCCGUCGAGUGUAAAGACAAAAGGGAGCUUGACUGCGAGACGGACACGUCGAGCAGGGACGAAAGUCGGGCUUAGUGAUCCGGUGGUCCUGGGUGGAAGGGCCAUCGCUCAACGGAUAAAAGGUACGCCGGGGAUAACAGGCUGAUCUCCCCCAAGAGUUCACAUCGACGGGGAGGUUUGGCACCUCGAUGUCGGCUCAUCGCAUCCUGGGGCUGAAGCGGGUCCCAAGGGUCGGGCUGUUCGCCCGUUAAAGCGGUACGAGAGUUGGGUUCAGAACGUCGUGAGACAGUUCGGUCCCUAUCUGUUGUGGGCGUAGGAGAUUUGAGAGGGUCUGUCUCUAGUACGAGAGGAUUGAGAUGGACGGACCUCUAGUGUGCCGGUUGUCGCGCCAGCGGCAGCGCCGGGUAGCUAUGUCCGGUUUGGAUAACCGCUGAAAGCAUCUAAGCGGGAAGCCAGCCUCAAGACAAGAUCUCCCGGAGGGUAACCUCCCUAAAGGCCACUCGUAGACGACGAGUUUGAUAGGCUGGAUGUGGAAGAGCUGUAAGGCUUGAAGCUAACCAGUACUAAUCGGCCGUGCGACUUAACAUC